UGACCAUAUCAUGUUGAAACACUAGUUCCCAUACUAUCACCAAAGUUAAGCAAUAUUGAGCCUGGUUAGUACUUAGAUGGGUGACCAUUUGUGAUAUCAGGUGCUGUAA